CUGACAUGUGUGCGAGUCAACGGGCGUAUAAACCCGUAUGGCACAAGGAAGCUAAUUCGCGGGAUCCCCUAGCGGGUGCACCACCGACCGACCUUGAUCUUUUGAGAAGGGUUCGAGUGUGAGCAUACCUGUCGGGACCCGAAAGAUGGUGAACUAUGCCUGAGCGGGGCGAAGCCAGAGGAAACUCUGGUGGAGGCCCGAAGCGAUACUGACGUGCAAAUCGUUCGUCUGACUUGGGUAUAGGGGAGAAAGAUUAAUCGAACCGUCUAGUAGCUGG
rnacentral:ncRNA from 1 species